UACGUAGGGCGCAAGCGUUAUCCGGAAUUAUUGGGCGUAAAGAGCUCGUAGGCGGUUUGUCGCGUCUGCCGUGAAAGUCCGGGGCUCAACUCCGGAUCUGCGGUGGGUACGGGCAGACUAGAGUGAUGUAGGGGAGACUGGAAUUCCAGGUGUAGCGGUGAAAUGCGUAGAUAUCUGGAGGAACACCGGUGGCGAAGGCGGCAUCCUGGACCGAGAUUGAGACUGAUGAGCGAAAGCCAGGGGAGCAAACGGG
rnacentral:rRNA from 1 species